rnacentral:rRNA from 1 species
UAGUCCACGCCGUAAACGAUGUCUACUAGCCGUUGGGAGACUUGAUUUCUUAGUGGCGCAGCUAACGCACUAAGUAGACCGCCUGGGGAGUACGGCCGCAAGGUUAAAACUCAAAUGAAUUGACGGGGGCCCGCACAAGCGGUGGAGCAUGUGGUUUAAUUCGAUGCAACGCGAAGAACCUUACCAGGUCUUGACAUCCUGAAAACUUUCUAGAGAUAGAUUGGUGCCUUCGGGAAUUCAGUGACAGGUGCUGCAUGGCUGUCGUCAGCUCGUGUCGUGAGAUGUUGGGUUAAGUCCCGUAACGAGCGCAACCCUUGUCCUUAGUUGCCAGCACAUAAUGGUGGGAACUCUAGACAGACUGCCGCGUUGAAGCAGGAGGAAGGUGGGGGACGACGUCAAGUCAUCAUGGGCCCUUAUGGGUCUGGGGCUACACACGUCCUACAAUGGUCGGUACAGAGGGCUGCGAAACCGCGAGGGU